rnacentral:sRNA from 1 species
UCGAAAAGAGCGGUUCGACAAGAAGUCCC